CGCUGAAACACAGGUUCCUGUAGGAUUAGUGAAGUUAAGCAACGUCGAGCCUUGCCAGUACCUAGAUGGGUGACCGGUUGGGAAUUCCAGAUGCUGUAAG